GAUAGAAGCAUGAGCUGAAUAUGAGGAAUGUCCAAAGGACAAGAAUGUGAGUGUUGAAACCAGAAUAAUGAAACAACAUGAUUGCAACAUCUGUCAAAGGAACUACACUGGCAGAAGGACUCCUGGGUGCUGACCCAAUGUCUGCUCCUUUUCUUGGACCGUGGAAAACAACAGGUUCUGGGGACAAUGACAAAGGAAGUGGGAAGAGUCCAACAGCAGAAGAGAAACAGAAAUCAUGCGUGUGAGAAAGCUGUGGCUGAAGACCAGGCUGCUGUGAAAGACAGUAGCAUAUGAAGACAAAAUGUGUGAUAAAAUCACUGACUUAAGAGAAGCCAGGGACCAGGAGGGGCCUGUGGUCAAAUAGAUGUUACCAAAACGUACCAAAGUGAGCUAUGGCAAAGACUCAUGUGGCAUUGCACAACCUUCCAAAGAAGAACUGACCAAAGUUUCAGCCUGGCAGAGCACAAAUUGCACAAAUUUCUCCUGUAAGAAUCCCUGCACAGACAUCAGAGCAGCCAGCAAGCAGAAAGGAAAGGAAACCAGUUGUACACUUGUGGGUUUUCUUCAGAAACUUCUUUAGAAACCAUGACCUGCUGAGGAACAUGGUGCAGUGUCAUGUGCCAAGAAAAACAGCACAAAGGUCUGAGGCUACUCCUAAUUAUCUGCUUUAACAACUGCUCCAUUGUCAGCAUCCGGAUGAAAUGCAUUCUCUCUCCUCCAGUAAAUGGCAUUGUUACUGACUUCAUGGUGAGGAAACUCACAGAUAUACCCUGAGUCAUUAGGUG